rnacentral:rRNA from 1 species
AUGGAUGGCGACCGGCGCACGGGUGAGUAACACGUAUCCAACCUGCCGACAACACUGGGAUAGCCUUUCGAAAGAAAGAUUAAUACCGGAUGGCAUAGUUUUCCCGCAUGGGAUAAUUAUUAAAGAAUUUCGGUUGUCGAUGGGGAUGCGUUCCAUUAGGCAGUUGGCGGGGUAACGGCCCACCAAACCAACGAUGGAUAGGGGUUCUGAGAGGAAGGUCCCCCACAUUGGAACUGAGACACGGUCCAA